UGGCGUAAGGGUGCUUAACACGUGGGUAAUCUGCCGCGAAGUGUGGGAUAACUCGCUGAAAGGCGAGCUAAUACCGCAUGUGAUCUUCUUGAGGCAUCUCAAGGAAUUCAAACAUGGGUCGCAAGACCUGUGGUUUCGCGAUGAGCCCGCGGCCUAUCAGCUAGUUGGCGGGGUAAAAGCCCACCAAGGCUAAGACGGGUAGCUGGUCUGAGAGGACGACCAGCCACACUGGAACUGAGACACGGUCCAGACACCUACGGGUGGCAGCAGUCGAGAAUUUUUCACAAUGGGGGAAACCCUGAUGGAGCGACGCCGCGUGGGGGAUGAAGGGCUUCGGUUCGUAAACCCCUGUCAUUGGCGAACAAGUGUUGCGCUCUAAUACAGUGUAACUUGAUAGUAGCCGAAGAGGAAGGGACGGCUAACUCUGUGCCAGCAGCCGCGGUAAUACAGAGGUCCCGAGCGUUGUUCGGAUUCACUGGGCGUAAAGGGUGCGUAGGUGGUUGGUUAAGUUUGAGGUGAAAGCUCCGAGCUCAACUCGGAAAAUGCCUUGAAGACUAUCUGACUAGAGGAUUGGAGGGGAGAUUGGAAUUCUCGGUGUAGCAGUGAAAUGCGUAGAUAUCGAGAGGAACACCAGUGGCGAAGGCGAAUCUCUGGACAAUUCCUGACACUGAGGCACGAAAGCCAAGGGAGCAAACGGGAUUAGAUACCCCGGUAGUCUUGGCCGUAAACGGUGCGCACUUGCUGUGAGCGGAUUCGACCCCGCUCGUGGCGUAGUUAACACGAUAAGUGCGCCGCCUGGGAAGUACGGUCGCGAGAUUAAA
rnacentral:rRNA from 1 species